CUCUCACCGCUCGGAGACCCCCACCCUCGCGGAUCCAACGCACCGGCGCCUCCUCCGAUCCAGAUCGACACGCCCCUUCCGCCACCCCCGCCCUCGCGGCCCCUUCCUCCCCUAGCCCCGACCACCCCCCUUCCGCCAUCCAAAGUUACAGCAGGCGCUCCCCUCGAUCCCUCCCACCGCCAUCUCCCUCCCUCAGAUCGAGCUCCCCCUCCCCUCUUCCUCCCACCUCUCGACACCCGCAGUCCCUCCCGUCUCCCACCCGCACUCUCUAUCUUCCUCGAUCGAUUCCCACCGUAGACGAGGUCGAGGCUGACCCAAGAUCGAGCCCAUGCCCAGACUCACAAGUGAAGCCCCGCGGAGCUGCCCACAAACUGCUCCUCUUCCCCAACCCCCGAUUCUUCUCCAAUCUCCGCCAUCGCCGUCGAUCCCCACCCCCAUCGGCAACCUCGUCUCCCCGCCCCCCCCCCCAUCCCCAACCCCACCGCCGACCGACCUCCCUCCUCAUCUCGUCCAUCCACCCAUGGAAACCCCCUCUUCCACGGAUCCACCCACCCAUGCCCACCAGUUCUGGCGAUGGAUGGGGCGCACCAGUUCUGGCGAUGGAUGGGGCGCACCAGUUCUGGCGAUGGCAGCGCCGGACCCGCACCCACCUGUGCGAUGGAGGUCGGCCGCAUCGGGAUCCACCUGCGUGAUGGAGCCCGGCCGGAUCGGUGUGGCGCUGCACACCACACCACACCGGAGCUUGCUGCUGUGCUGGUCGUUGACAACGACGCAACUCCGGUGGGACCUAGACGCCCAAGGUACGUACGCCGUUCUUGCCAACUCUUCCAUCUCCUCUCAUGCGUGGCUUGCGUGCUGCAGAUCCGACCCCCCAUCCUUCCUUCCUUGUGUUCAUGGAACGACAAUGGCAAGGGGACGACCGAUGUGCGUGGUGGACCAGGAGGUGGAGAACCGUCUCGCCCUCCUUGUUCACAUCACCUCCCUUUGAUUUCCCUUGGACACUUGGAGAGAGAGAAGGAAGAUGGCGGACGAGGGGAUGGCCAACUGCAUCGACAUCAUCCUCGCCAUCAUCCUGCCGCCGCUCGGCGUCUUCCUCAAGUUCACCUGCCGGAUCGAGUUCUGAAUCUGCUUGCUGCUCACCUUUUUCGGCUACCUCCCUGGCAUCAUCUACGCCGUCUGGGUCAUCACUAAGUAGGUGUCAGAGGGGCUCCUCACCUCUGGCUGCCUCUAGGUGACCCAAGGUUGCUGAAGAGGAGCAGCAGCUGCACAAGAGUAUCUGAAGAUGACUCCUCCGUUUCUAACCCAUCCCCUUCCUUCCACUGUUUUGGAUGAUGAACUUGAUCCUGCUUAAUUAAUUAAUUUCUCAUCGUGCUUAAUUAGCUGUAAAUGUGCCCCCUUAUUGAAGAAGAAGAAGAAGAAGAUAAUACAAAUGUAAUUUAAUUGGAUGGUCCCUUUCAUCGUGCUUAAUUAGCUGUAAAUGUGCCUCCCUUACUGAAGAAGAUAAGAAUCCAUAUGUGUUAUGCAAAAUUAACUUUGUCAUCUUGUAAGCACUCUAGGCAGUGUCUAGAGGGUGAAAAUAUGAGAACAAAAAAGAAUUACUGGAUUAAUUUAAAACAUCCAUCCUUUACUCCGUCCAUGUCAUUGUUAUUUACCCCUGGGAGUAUUUUUAACUUGAAAAUCUCUGGUGAACUGCCAUUUCGAGUACAUUUUCUUGCUCUGUUAAUUUUUUGGGUUACUCCAUCUUGCUCUGUUAAGUAAAAUUUGAUAUGUGGAGUAGCAGCAGUAAGCUAGACCCUCCAUCUUGCUCUGUACAUAGUCAAAGCUACUCCAAGUUAGCAGCAAUACUGUUAACUUCUCAAUUUGCUUGGAUUACAUUUAACUUCUAGUACUCCAGUACUCUAGUAAUUUUGCUUAGAGUAUUUAACAUGAUUGAACUGUACAUGUGUGGAGUAAUUUUGCUGGGAGUAUUUAACAAGAUUGAACAAGAUUUAACUUGUCAACAUUUAACAGUAUUUUCAGUAAGUAUUCUGAACAUGCUUCUGAAUAUUUCCAGAUUUUGAACAUGCAAGCAAAUCUGCAGGAGUAAACAAGUUCUUGCGGUAGAUAUUGCAAGUGUUUUAUCUAAACAUCUACUCUCACCGAAGAUAUUUCAAGUGGUCUGACCAGAUUUUCUCAGUUUGCAAGUUUACUUACUUUUCCAGUUAAUUAACUGGACAUCUUGGAGUAGUUAGAAAAUCAUGAAUUAUUUGCAUAAAACCAUAGAAGUAUUGUACUCCAGGGUGCAUUACUUACAUAAACUUGUUUGCAAGCUUAUUUUCUGACUCACAUAUUCUGAAACUAAAAAAGCUUAGUUAACUUGUGUAGUACUUUGGGUAAAAAUGGAAUGGUUCCAUCCUGCACAACAUACUUUGAGUGAAUGUUGAGUACUGUAUGCACUUGUGUAAUAUAUGUUGCUUGAUGAAUGCCUGGGUGUGUCACUUGUGUAAUAUAUGUUGGUUGAUGAAUGCCUGGGUGUGUCACUGCUUGUUCCAUGCUACAUUUAGGAAUUGUUCAUUUUUGUGUUAUGACAACUUCACUGCAUCCUGCCGAAACCUUUUUAAAAUCUUGCAGAUUCUAGUGCUACCACACAACUAGAUCAGUAUUUGAUUACUAUUACAAGUGGAGGUCUAAAUCAGCAGAGAACAGGGAAGUCAGCUCCCCUUGGAUGGUGCAGUGUAGCAAAUCAAUGUCGAUUCAUUCAUUCUUUGAUGUUGGCUUUCAUUCUUCCAAAGUUGGGUGUACAGGAGCUCUAGGAAGAAGAAUGCCGAAGAUAAACCACACCCAGCAAUGCGUUUUAGCUCACUAGAGAUAGUUAUGCUUGGAGCUAGUUAUGUGUAUAUUUAGUUGUAUUUUAUAGCUGAAUACCAGAAUUGUACUAUGCUUGGCUGUUGUAUGAAAUAUUAUGCCUUAUUGGCUCUUUUUGAAUCAAAUUAUCUAAUUGCACAGAUA